rnacentral:rRNA from 1 species
AUACGGAGGGCGCAAGCGUUGCCCGGAAUCACUGGGUGUAAAGGGUGCGUAGGCGGGGCUGUAAGUCAGAGGUGAAAGCCCUCGGCUCAACCGGGGAAUUGCCUCUGAUACUGCAGCUCUUAAGUCCCGGAGAGGCCGCUGGAAUUCCUGGUGUAGCGGUGAAAUGCGUAGAUAUCAGGAGGAACACCGGAGGCGAAGGCGGGCGGCUGGACGGGGACUGACGCUGAGGCACGAAAGCGUGGGGAGCAAACAGGAGUAGAAACCCUAGUAGUCC